rnacentral:lncRNA from 1 species
CAGGGAUCAAACUCAGGAUCUUGUGCUUGUGAGGCAGGCAGCAGCACCACUGAGCUAAAUCCCCGGCCCCUACAGUUCAAUCUCUUGAUCUGCCUUCAUACCUUUUGACUUUAGAUUAUUUUCCCUUUCCAUGCUCUACAUUUUUGGACUGGUUACUGCACUUGGGGCAGUUGUAAUUCUGAGAAGUUGAAUUAUUACCCUUUGGACUUAGGACAUGGGGUGAUGCUAGAAAUAGUGUUAUUCACGCAUUUGAAUUUCUGUGCUACUUUGGUGUGGUUGUAUGAUUGAAUUAGGUGUUUUUUUUGUUGUUUUUUUUUUGGUGCCAGGGGUCAAACUCAGGACCUUGCGCUUGCGAGGCAGGCGCUGGAACCACUGAGCUAAAUCCCUGGCCCCUUGAAUUAGGUUUUUAUGAUGCUGUGGGUUUAAUCUCCAGUGUGCAGAAUAAUAAGAAUAGCAAUAAUAAAAAGGGCCAAGGAUGUAGGGCUCAGUGAUAGAACACUUGCCUAUCUUUUGUGAGGCCCUGGGUUUAAUCCCCACUGUUGCAAAAAACAAGCAAACAAAAAUCUGGUAACCUUUUAGGGAAGCAACAUACAGAAUAAAGAAUCCAGAGGUGGACCAAAAUAUAUGUGGGAAUUUAGGAAAAGAAAAGGAAAGAUAAGAUUCAGUAAUAGGCUGGCCAUUAUGUAAACCAAUUAGGGACAUGAAAAAAUAUUUUUUCUUGAGCACUUUAUAUUUCAUACUUCUCUGUUUUUCUGCAUGGUUAAGAAUGUUUAGUUGACACUUGAUUGGAACUUCUUUUUUUUAAUUCUCAGAUAUUGAAAAAGUGCUUGAUUGUAUGCAGAAGGCAGAAGACUAUAUGAAAACAACAUCCAACUUCCAUGGAAAGGGGUAUAUCAUCCAGAAAAGAGAAAUAAAACCAAGCCUGGAAAUAGAUAAACCAGUUGAAGACAUACUCACGUAUGAGGAAUUUCAUCCUUUCUUGUUUUCCCAACAUUCUCAAUGUCCAUAUAUAGAAUUUGAAUCAUUUGACAAGGUGGGUUUUCUGUUUCUGUUUUUUAAUCAGAUAGUUAGCAUCAGAAUUAUAUGCACUGUUAAGUUUCUGUCAGCUUGCUUUCAUUGAGAAAUCAAAAAUAUUCUUCACAAUCACUAUGAAUCUGGGCAUUGAAGGUCAAUGGAGUUACAGAUACAGCUUCUGGAAACAGUUGUUGCCACUUUAUUUCAAAAUGAAGGACCAAAGAUUUCAAUGUAAUUUGAUUUUUUUAAUUUUUAUUUUUUCUUUUUGAUACAGUCUCACUAUAUAGUUCAGGCUGGCCUUGAACUUACUAUGUAGCCCAGACUGGCCUCAAACUUGCAGCAAUCCUCCUGCUUCAGCCUCCUGAGUGUGGGAUUACAGGCAUGGGCCACCAUGCCUGGCUGAAAUUUGAUUUUUUUUUUCUGGUAUGAGGAAUCGAACUCAGGACCUUGCACUUGUAAGGCAGGUGCAGUACCACUGAACUAAAUCCCUCGCCCUGAAAUUUGAUUUUUUUUUGGUACCAGGGAUCGAACUCAGGACCUUGCUGUUGGGAGGCAGGUGCAGUGUCACUGAGUUAAAUCCCCAGCUUGAAAUUUGAUUUUUGAUACUGUUUAGCUGCAUAAUAAAUUUACUGGAAAUCUGUUCAAGUUCUUUGAAUAGCAUUAUGAAACAAGUAGGCUACAUUCUGUGUAUGCAAAUUGAAGUAGAGACCAUAUUUUUUUAAAGCUAGUUUUUUUCUCUUUUUAAAUAAGGCCGUGGAUGAAUUUUAUUCGAAGAUAGAAGGUCAGAAAAUUGAUUUGAAAGCUUUACAGCAGGUAUGGUAUUAUUAAAAACUUAUAUUAAACCAGCUAGUCUUAGAAUAGUUUGAUAAGUAGUUGAUUAUCUUAGUGAUUUUUGUCCUUGCUGAGACAAAAUGGACAAUACCCACAGGUUAAGGGAGGAGAGGUUUAUUUGACUCAUAGUUUAUAGAGGUUUCAGUUCAUAGUUGGCUGGUUCCAAGGCAAAGGGGCAUCACAGAGGAGAAACAGUCCAUGGCGGGCAGAAGACAGCAAUAGCAAGCAACUGACCAGCAGUGACAAUGGCAGCUUUCUUUCUGUUCCUUCUAUUUUAUCACACCCUUAAUCCCAGCAUCCUUAACCUUAGCACUGCACCAUGAAUCAGUCCUAGCAUCACACACUCUAGAUCCAGUUACUCUGAAAAACCUCACCUAGGACUGCAUGAGGCUUUGCGGG